rfam:Dipodomys ordii contig_13610, whole genome shotgun sequence.
GGUGGCUCAGUGGUAGAGCGCUUGCCUUGCAUGUCAGAGGCCCUGAGUUUGAUUCCUCAGCACCA